AUUCAAUAUGGCGGCGAUCUUGGCUCGAUCUGCAAAGAAGCGUGUUUCGUACCAUGACUUACACAAUUUGAGCACCGCAGAUCUUCUAUUUGAUGAAAAGAAGAUCUACAAGGAAAUCUUUGGGAUUUUUCGAGGACCUGAGAACUAAUUUAUUUACCAGCAAGAACAUAAACAAAUAUGGCCGACGAUUCGAAGAUCAGCUUUGCUCGUGUUAAACCAUUUCAGUCAUAGUUUUCAACAUGGCGUCUCGUCACUUACUCAACAUGGAAAAUAAGGGAUAUUCUGCCGCGUUGGGAAGUUUUUGAUGGGAGAACAUGGCAAUUUUUCAGGAUAUUUGGACGCUUCGAACUCAGUAGCAGUCAAUUCGAUCGAGAGCAGUUGACUUCAUUGAUGCACUUUCCUGUUAUAGGCGAGUGUUUGGGAUGGAGAACGACGGAUUUAGAAGAACUGUAUGGCGACUUAGGUCAAUGGACAAUGACAAAAGAACUGGCUCGGGAAGUGGAGUUGAAGAGUUUGUUAAACAGGAUGGGAUUAAGCAGUUCAAUCUCUUUCAAGUGUGACUGAGACAUGACAACAACACCACUCCAAGGACCAUUCAAACCAGAGAUGGGAACAGUACUGUGGCAAUGGGAGUUUGAAAAGCAGUUAUUGGCAAAUUGUAAGAUCUGCUCAAUAUGCCAUUUUAACUUGGUGUAAUCUUGAGGAAGUACUUUCUCAAGCAGAUGCAUUAGGCUUAAAACCAGCUGCAUUGGAUUUAUUUUGUACUUUUGAUUUAAGGAGAUAGAAGAUAGCUAUGAAAUGACCUCUUUUUUAUUGAUGGAAAUUUUAAGAUAUUACAGAGAGUAAUCACCAGAAACCUUAAUGGGGUAAGUUUGGAUAACAUAGGCGAAAAACGUGAUGAAAUUCAUCUCUGCAGCCCAUGGAGGAACGUUUCUCUUUAUCCCUAAUACAAAAAUAAGGUGAAAUUUAUGUUUUGAGUCUAUAUUACUUGAGUGAAUAUUAAUAGUCUGAAAU